AAAACUAGUGGGUGGAAAGAGAAAUUACUGUCUACCGGGGGGAAGGAGAUCCUGCUCAAAGCUGUGAACCAAGCCAUACCUACAUAUACAAUGUCGGUCUUUAAAAUUCCUAAAAAAAGUUAUAAAGGAAUCAUUGACGCGACUAGGCAUUUCUCGUGGGGAGACGAGGAGAACCAGACGAGGAUGCAUUGGAUGUCCUAGUCAAAAAUGUUCGUACCUAAAAACCAAGGAGGGAUGAGAUUUCGUGAUAUUCAUUGUUUCAACUUGGCACUGCUAGCCAAACUGAUGGGCUACUAUCCUAAGGGAUAA
rnacentral:rRNA from 1 species